rnacentral:lncRNA from 1 species
ACAGCACGGCUCGGCUCAUGCCCAGAGAAAGAGGAAGAAGCUGAGUGUGAGACAGAAAGGAAAUGGGAUGGCAGAGAGAGAAUAGAAGAGGAAAAUUAGCAAGAGAGACUAAAAGAGACAGAGAUCAAAGAGAAACACAGAAGGGAUGUAGAUGGCAACGUGGCUCUCAUUCCCCUCCCAAAUACCCCAACUUUCAUCGCCUGUUCCAGAAGCCUUGUCACCUACAAGCCUAUCUGCACAGAAGGACACAGAGAAUAAUAAUACUACUAAUAAUACUAAUGAUGAUGAAAGCAGCAACAGCAGCAACAUAUGGAAUGGCUGGUCAUCAACUCUGAAGCACCAGGGCCAUCCCUGAAAAAAAGGGCCUAUUACACACUGGGCACCCACAGCCACAGCCGUUCCUGCUGCCCC